AUGUCUCAGUUCUCAUCUGAGAACUACUCGGUUACGACAUCGGUGUUGAUGUUGUGUUUGUUGUUAUUUGCUUCUGUAACGAUGGACAAAGUUGAAGCUUGGAGGAAGAUUGUUGCUAAUUUUUGGAGUGUUUUGUUACCGAAGGUGAUGGGUUAUGUCCAGAACAAAAUGAUGAACGAAAAGGGAAAGGUUUGUGAAGAAAUUCAAAGGAGUUAUUACCGUUGUGGUUUUUUGACUGAGAUUUUGCAGUAUGACAGUAACAGGUUUGUGGGAAGAUUUGGCAAGAGUUGA